AGAGAGAGAGAGAGAGAAAAGACCCAGCUCAUGUGUCUAUUUCCUCUGAUAUUCUCCGAUCUAGGCACAUCCCAAACUUGCCUUCUUUUGUGUGUCUUUUGUGCAUAUCUCAUUCUGUACUCCGUCUAGCUUUAGCAUUUUUUCGUAAAUCCAGCACUGAUUCAUAUUUUCUCAGGAAGCUGAGUAUUUUUUCUCAGAGGACAAGCUAAUCAGAGAAGGGAGGAUGGCUCUUUGGUUAAUGUUAUGAGAGUAACCAUAUUCUCUUUCUAGGAUCCAAAUAGUCCCUCAAAAUUAAUUUGUGAUGUUUACCUUUAUUAUAUCAUUCAGCAUACUAUAGUUCUGUUACAUAUAUGCAUUUACUCUCUUGUUAUGCUAUCAGUUUCUAAGGAAAUAAGAGUUUUUCAUGAUCUUUUUUGAAAAUGUUUGACACAGUGCCUGGGAAGUAAUAUGUUCAAUAAAGGUUUGGUAAAAGAGGAACAGGUAUUAAAAAGGAAAUUUUAUUUAUUUUAAAUAAGCUUUGAAAAAAGUUGGAAUUUUGAAACAGGUUGUAUAAGUCAUAAUUUGGAGAGGACCUCCUGCAUGCAUGUGUGAACUAUCAGAAAUAAAUAGAAGUAAAAAAAUUCUAUAAUUCUGUAAAUGCUUAUUAGACACCUACCAUAUGCCAGGAAUUAUUCCUGAACUAUAGAAUUGUGGAUGAGAGAGACAGUUCCAGAUCUGAGAAUUUGAAUUCUAGCAAAGAAGAUAUUACUAGGGAGUAAACAGAAAGAAUUUAAAUUAAUUUUCCAACACAGUCCUAGUUUUUUGAGAAGUCCUGUGCUCAAGUUAAGUAUGAAAUCAGUUAUUGCUGUGGCCAUUAUUAAUAAGCACUUAAGCUAAAAUGUGCUUUAAUAUCAUGGCCAAUUUCUAAUUUGUUGGAUUACUUGUCUCAAGAAAUUUUAGCCAAAUGAAGCUGCCACUUCAUUACUAGGCAAAACCUUCUCUUUAUCUCUUUGUACAUGUGUAAAUGUAUGUGUGUGUGUAGAUGUGUAUGUUUUUAAAAGAAACUGUUUUUAAAAUUAGAGUUGUUAUAUAAUUGAAGAUUUUAGAAGGCAAAUGAUUACUUGCUGAUGACAAAUUUACAUAGGAUAUUAUAGACUGUUAAAUUUAAAUAUAUUUAGUAUUUACUCAUCCCAGAAACCACCUUUUUUGAGAAUAAAAUAAUUUUGUAAUAGUACUACAUUAUUAAAUUUAAUCUGUAUUUCUUCAGCUAUCUUAUUGGUUAUAUUGGCAAUGCUACUCAGGUUUUUUGUUUUUCUUUAAAAAACAUUGCUGAGAAGCUUUAAUGAGCUAAUUUCUGUAAAGCUCUUUACACAGUGACUUUUACAUAGUAAAUGUUCACUAAAUGGUAGCCAUUAUUGUUAAGUAUGUAUUUGUAAGCAUAUAAUAUAUGGCCGUGGCCAGUGUGGCUCAGUUGGUUGGAGCUUCGUCUCUGGCACCAAAAGGUUGUGGGUUCGAUUCCCAGUCAGGGCACAUACCCAGGUUUUGGGUUUGGUCUUUGGGGCACGUAUCAAAGACAACCAAUUUGUGUUUGUCUAUCACAUCAAUGUUUUUCUCUCUCUAAAAAAAAAUAAAAUAAAUUUAAAAAUGCUAAAGAAUGCUAAUUUAUUAUUGCAAAAUUAAUUUUUUUGUACUAUUGGUGAUUUGUGGGGUGGGGGUAGGAAUUCAGUAAAAGCAAUAUCUUUAAAUUUCAUUUAUGUAAUGCUGUACUGUAUUCAGAAUUCUUUCCUAUAUGUCCUUCCAUUUGCUCAUCAAACCACCCUACAUGGAGGAAAGGAAGAUGGUCAUAUCAUCACAGUUUAGUGUUAGAACCCAGGUUGAGAAUCAGGUUGUUUUGACUCAUUGAUCUUUUCACCCUUCCGUCUCUGAUAAACAGGUUUAUAAAACAAUCCUGUUUGGGUAAAAGGUUUCUUUGCUUACUCCUCUUUCCUUCAAUAUUAGAUACAGGGCCAGCAUACUUUGAUAGAAAGAUUAGCAUUCUCUGGGGUAUCAAGUUUUACUCAAGGAUUUAAUGAAACGUUAGUUUUUGUUUUGUUUUGAAAGACAUAUUGACCUUAAAUAUUCAUCUUUUAUAGGUUGUAAUUUUACUGGUAUUACAAGUGCAUAAAAAUGUCAUAAUGACUUUGUAAAUUAUUCAUUUAAUAAAUAUUGAACACCUACAAUGUCUUUGUUUAUUGACUUUCAUGUUUGUUAAAAUCUCUACCCCCCCAUUUAAUUUAAUUUAAUUUAAUUGUUGCCAGUAUUACAGAUGUCUUCCAAUAUAAUAUUUACUCCUCCUUUACCUCCCUCCUCCCAGCCUGCCCCCCCCCCCCAGGCCUUCACCACACCAUUGUUUGUGUCCAUUGUUUAUGCAUAUAUGUAUUAAGUUCUUUGAGGGGGUUGCGAGAGAGAUUGAGAGAAUUUCAGAGCUGGAAGGAACUUUUCAAGAGCUUUCAUAAUAUUUAGUCAUUUCUUGAGACAGCUAGUUUUUAUUACUUGAAACCUUAAUGAUAAAGUGGUAAGAUAGUCUUCAGAGGGAAGAUCCUGAGGGGUUUCAGGUACAGAUGUUUGCAUUAAAACUUUUGAAAUGGUUUGAGUCCACUAUUGUUUGAAAACCUUCCUUGGUUAGGAUUUUCAGCUCAGUUUGGAGUAUUCUUGUUGUGGUAUUGUCUUAGAGAACUGCCAGGCAACAUAUAGCAAUCUACUGGGUUUGGUCUUUACUAUUUGUUGGAACUCAUGGCUCUGGCCUCGCAUCCUUUGACAGGUAAGAAACAAGCCUGGAAAGAUUGUAAUUUGUUCGAGGUCACUAACUAAUUAGUGUCAGAUUCAGGUAUUUGCAUUUCCAGUUCUUUUUAUUACCUAGCCAUGGUAGCAUUUAAAUUUGUUGGCAAGUUAACUUCAUAAGGAUUUCUUGUAAAUUUCAUUAUAUCUAGAUCUAGUGUUGUACAACUUGAUAACUUCUAACACUAAACCUAUUACUUAAUAUAAUAACAACUUAUGUUAAAAUCUGGGCUAGCAUUAUAAUGAAUGAAGAACAAAGUACUAUCAGUUAUUUUCCCUAUGUUAACAAAUAUAUAUGUUUUCAUUCAUUUUUAUUGCUGGCUAACAUUCCAUUCACAGUUAUUUGACCACUUUAUUGUUGAUAGGCUUGGUGUAGUUGAAGUAUAAAUAUUAACAAACUUCAUUUUGUUGUCUUUUAUAGUAGCAUUUAUUGUGCUGUGUAUCUUGUCUUCUUUGAUAUCGUAGUAUUUCUUAGAACAAUCCCAAUAAAUAUUAUUUCCCCUUUUAUGUGUGAUAUAAAUAAUAAGGGUCACUAAUAGUGUAAUUAAUAACCAAUUUGAUUAUAUAUGUAUAUAUGAAUGUGCAUGUAUGAUACAAAGUUUUUACAGCUCCAGGUGCAUCUGCAGAGUAGGCAAAGUUGUUUUGGUCUUUGUCUUUUUCCAUCCCUUUUUGCUAUUUAUCUUUUGUUCCCCUAAGGCCCAAAAUCUCCUCACCAAUGUUCAUUUCUAGCCUACAUCCUAAAAUGUUCUGAUUCUUGCCUGGCUGGUGUGGCUCUCAGUCGUUGAGCAUCGACCCAUGAACCAGGAGCACAUGGUUCCUUUCCUGGUCAGUGCACAUGCCCAAGUUGUAGGCUUGAUCCCUGUAGGGGGCAUGCAGGAGGCAGCCAAUCAAUGUUUCUUUCUAAUUGCUGUUUCUGUGUCUCUAUCCUUUCCCUUCCUUUCUCUCUAAAAUUAAUUUUAACAUUUAAAAAUGUUCUGAUUUGUUUAUUUUCUUCUCUAGUAGCUCUCUUUGCUAGAAACUCUUUUCUGCUUAAUAAAGUAAUCUGAGUAAAGUAAUUCAUUCAAAUGUGAAUGUAAAUAAAAGUGAGCAUGGUUGGUAGCGUUUUUUCCUUAAGAUAAUUCUGAUUACAAAAGCAUUACAUGCUCAUUGAAGAUAAUAAAAGAAUGAAGAAGUAUAAGGAGGAAAGUAGGAAUGUCCACCACCCUAUAUAAUAAAAGGCUAAUAUGCAAAUAGACCAAACUGCGGAACAAUCGGACAGCUGGUUGCUAUGACGUGCGCUGACUACCAGGGGGCGCACGCAGAACGUGGCAGAUGUCAGCAGCAGGUGGCAGAGUGCCGAACAUGGCAGGUGUUGGCCGCAGUGGGAUGGUGGAGCAGAUAUUAGCAUUUAAAAGUGGAAGUUGAGGUAUCUGUUUGGAAGAAUGGGGGAAAGGAGGAGACUUCCAAAUUGGUGGCCUUCUCUGACUUCCCCUGACUGCUUUCACCUUGCCUGAUCCUCUAUGCUCCAGUGUGUUUUACAGACACUAAUCCUAGGGAAUGCUCUUUGAAAACAAGACAUCAAGAAAGUUUGAAAAUAUUGUAUGUAAUUUUCAUGGAGUUUAAUAAAAGUUUUUUAGAAGAA